rnacentral:lncRNA from 1 species
UCAACAAAUGAAAAAUAGUACCACAUUUUAAUUUCUAUUUGAAUAUAAAAAAUUAAACACAUGCUUAUUGGACCUAUGUAUUUCUUUUUAUUCAAGAACUCUAUCCAAUAUAUACACAUUUUCCUUUUGGCUUUUGUCAUUUGUGUAUUUAAGACUUUGAAUAAUGUUUUUAAAUGAUAUUAACUUUAAUCUUUCAUACACCUUUCAGAAAUUUACUAUUCGUAUUUUGUUUUGUGUAUUUUGUAACACACAAGUUGUAAAUGAUUAUGUAUUGUUUUUCUGUUCAGUUCCAUCUUUCAUUUUUAUGCUUAACAAUGUCUUCUUAGUCAUAUAUGCCCGCCUACAUUUUCUUCUAGUUCUUUCAUUAGAUAUAUCUAGUAUUAAUUCAUCACCCAUUUGAUGCAUGGUAUUUUUUUUUCAUGAUGGGGACAUGAAGUAAAUAUUCUGAUUUUUAAAUGUUUCCAUUAUAAUUGGCUACCAUUGUCAAUUUUCUUAUUGAUUCUGAUACUUGUUCAGUUUCUUAGUUUUCCAGGUAAUAAUUUAUCUGCAAGUCAGUGUAACUUAAUUAUUUAUUUUUUAAUAGCUCAGUAUUCUCAUUGCCUUUUGUUGUUUCAUUGAGAACUUCCAGUACAAUGUUAGGAGGGGGAAAAAAACAAUGGGAAUGGCACCAAUCCUUCUCUUGUUCAUCUUUAUAUUCCUUAGAACAUACGGAAUGCGUUCUGACAUAGAACUUAUUGAAGAGUAAUUUGGAAUUUUCUGAUGAAUCAACCGUUGUCUUUAAUCUUCACAAGUUUGAAAGGUAUACGUUAUUGUUCCCAUUUCCCAGAUGGAGAAAUUGAGGUUCAGGAAGGUUACACAAAGUCCCGGGUCUAAGAAAAAUGUCUCCCAGAUUCCAAAAGAUGUGUCUAUUUUGCUAAUAGUGGCCAUUCAAGCAUUAGGGGAAAGGUUGCCCGUGGUAUCGCUGGUGUUUCUUCUUCCCACUUUCAAAUCUAGAAUAGUAAAAUAGCAAAAAUCCCAACGGGCAUGAGAGUUACCAUAGUAGAUAGGGUAGGUUGGUUCUCUGCUGUGGUCAACGUCAGCUCUGUGGCGAGGCGGGUUCUCCCAACAAUAGUCCACACCAUUUCCAGGCUUUUCUCGGCGACGGGCAGCCCAGAGUGCGGAACUUCUCUGGAUGCGCCCGGCCCCCAAAGCGAGGAGACAAGACAGCCCCGAUUCUCCGCAGCCCCAGGUUUACUCGUCAAGGACCGAGGGGCCUCUCAGCUCCGACCGCCUCCUCUCCGCCCCCUGCAGGCCGGCCGGAGGGACAGCUCAGGGCCCAGGUCGGCGAAGGGAGCACGGAACCAAAGAGCGCUAG